rnacentral:rRNA from 1 species
UACGUAGGGUGCAAGCGUUGUCCGGAAUUAUUGGGCGUAAAGAGCUCGUAGGCGGUUCGUCGCGUCGGCUGUGAAAACCUGAGGCUCAACCUCAGGCCUGCAGUCGAUACGGGCGGACUUGAGUACUGCAGGGGAGACUGGAAUUCCUGGUGUAGCGGUGAAAUGCGCAGAUAUCAGGAGGAACACCGGUGGCGAAGGCGGAUCUCUGGGCCAUUACUGACGCUGAGGAGCGAAAGCGUGGGGAGCGAACAGG